UACGAAGGGGGCUAGCGUUGCUCGGAAUCACUGGGCGUAAAGCGCACGUAGGCGGCUUGUUAAGUCAGGGGUGAAAUCCUGGAGCUCAACUCCAGAACUGCCUUUGAUACUGGCGAGCUUGAGUCCGGGGGAGGUGAGUGGAACUGCGAGUGUAGAGGUGAAAUUCGUAGAUAUUCGCAAGAACACCAGUGGCGAAGGCGGCUCACUGGCCCGGUACUGACGCUGAGGUGCGAAAGCGUGGGGAGCAAACAGG
rnacentral:rRNA from 1 species